AAAAAGGUUAACCUAUCGAUGUCGAUGAGUUAACUACAAUAUAAACCAUGUUCCCAAAAAAUAAAGAUAGAAGAAACAAAUGGUUACAAGCAAUCAAUAUGAAUCAAGUUUCACAAUAUGCUCGGCUGUGCUCCAACCAUUUUAAAUCAUCAGAUUAUCAAGAAACAUUACGUGGACUAAAAGGGAGACUUAAAAACACUGCUAUUCCUUUUUUUAAAUUACUUCACACGAAAUCAAUUGUGAUAACAUAGCAUCAUCUAGUGACGAAGAAUUUCAUAUUGAAAUACAACAGAUAUUUGGAGAAUGACUACAUAACACAGUAAUCAAGUAAUUUUCAAUAUAAAAAUAUACCUAUGGUAUUUUCAGAAUACAUAUAAGAAACAAUCCGGUGAAAUUAAAAUAGAAGAAUGCAGUGUGGAAUGUAAUGAUGCUACAAAAGAUAAUUCUAACUCAUUGAAAAGAAAAUCAAUGGAAGAUGAAAAAAUAGACUUUCCUUUGAAACAUAUUAAACAUAUGAAGGAUAAUGUAUGAUAUUAAGUAUCUAGAAAUUCGGACGAAGCGACAAUGAUAUUAGACGUUGCAUUAGAAACAAUUGCAGAACAGGUAAAGAAAAUACAACAUUUGCAAGUGCAGGCAUGUAAACUAAAAAAACCGAGAGUUUGAUUGAGUUAAAUAAACAUUUACAUGACAAUAA
rnacentral:lncRNA from 1 species